ACGCUGGCGGCAGGCUUAACACAUGCAAGUCGAACGGUAACAGGAGAAAGCUUGCUUUCUUGCUGACGAGUGGCGGACGGGUGAGUAAUGCUUGGGAAUCUGGCUUAUGGAGGGGGAUAACGACGGGAAACUGUCGCUAAUACCGCGUAGAGUCGAGAGACGAAAGUGCGGGACCGCAAGGCCGCAUGCCAUAGGAUGAGCCCAAGUGGGAUUAGGUAGUUGGUGGGGUAAUAGCCUACCAAGCCGACGAUCUCUAGCUGGUCUGAGAGGAUGACCAGCCACACCGGGACUGAGACACGGCCCGGACUCCUACGGGAGGCAGCAGUGGGGAAUAUUGCGCAAUGGGGGCAACCCUGACGCAGCCAUGCCGCGUGAAUGAAGAAGGCCUUCGGGUUGUAAAGUUCUUUCGGUAUUGAGGAAGGUUGUUGUGUUAAUAGCACGACAAAUUGACGUUAAAUACAGAAGAAGCACCGGCUAACUCCGUGCCAGCAGCCGCGGUAAUACGGAGGGUGCGAGCGUUAAUCGGAAUAACUGGGCGUAAAGGGCACGCAGGCGGACUUUUAAGUGAGGUGUGAAAUCCCCGGGCUUAACCUGGGAAUUGCAUUUCAGACUGGGAGUCUAGAGUACUUUAGGGAGGGGUAGAAUUCCACGUGUAGCAGUGAAAUGCGUAGAGAUGUGGAGGAAUACCGAAGGCGAAGGCAGCCCCUUGGGAAUGUACUGACGCUCAUGUGCGAAAGCGUGGGGAGCAAACAGGAUUAGAUACCCUGGUAGUCCACGCUGUAAACGCUGUCGAUUUGGGGAUUGGGCUUUAAGCUUGGUGCCCGAAGCUAACGUGAUAAAUCGACCGCCUGGGGAGUACGGCCGCAAGGUUAAAACUCAAAUGAAUUGACGGGGGCCCGCACAAGCGGUGGAGCAUGUGG
rnacentral:rRNA from 1 species